AGAGAGGGCGCCCCGGCUCCGCGGCGCCUGCAGCCCUAGCGCGUCGCCUGCCCGGCCGGCGUAGGCCGGGCCCGGCCCGGCCCCGGGUCCGCCGCUGCCCGCGGGCGGGGGCGCCCGGGCGGCCGGGGCGAUGCGCGUUCCCUGGCCCCGGGAAGCGGCCGCCCAGGGGCGGUCAGGAUGGAGGUGAGAAGACGGCCGUGACGCGCGCAGGUGCAGUCCCCUGCACCCCCAGCAGCCCACAGCGCUCCCUGCCCCCCUCCCCCGCAGCGGCCGGCCUUGCGGUCCAGUGACAGCGGCCUGGGGGGGCAGGGGGGGCGGGGGCGGCCGGACCAGCGAUGCCGGCGGGCAUGACGAAGCAUGGCUCCCGCUCCACCAGCUCGCUGCCGCCCGAGCCCAUGGAGAUCGUGCGCAGCAAGGCGUGCUCGAGGCGUGUCCGCCUCAACGUCGGGGGUCUGGCACACGAGGUGCUCUGGCGCACCCUGGACCGCCUGCCCCGCACGCGGCUGGGCAAGCUACGCGACUGCAACACGCACGACUCGCUGCUCGAGGUGUGCGACGACUACAGCCUCGACGACAACGAGUACUUCUUUGACCGCCAUCCAGGCGCCUUCACCUCCAUCCUCAACUUCUACCGCACUGGGCGGCUGCACAUGAUGGAGGAGAUGUGCGCGUUGAGCUUCAGCCAAGAGCUUGACUACUGGGGCAUCGACGAAAUCUACCUGGAGUCCUGCUGCCAGGCCCGCUACCACCAGAAGAAGGAGCAGAUGAACGAGGAGCUCAAGCGGGAGGCCGAGACCCUGCGGGAGCGGGAGGGGGAGGAGUUCGAUAACACUUGCUGCGCAGAGAAGAGGAAAAAGCUCUGGGACCUCCUGGAGAAGCCCAAUUCUUCCGUAGCUGCCAAGAUUCUUGCCAUAAUUUCCAUCAUGUUCAUCGUCCUCUCCACCAUUGCCCUGUCACUCAACACGCUGCCUGAGCUGCAGAGCCUCGACGAGUUCGGCCAGACCACAGACAACCCCCAGCUGGCCCACGUGGAGGCCGUGUGCAUUGCGUGGUUCACCAUGGAGUACCUGCUGCGGUUCCUCUCCUCCCCUAAGAAAUGGAAGUUCUUCAAGGGCCCGCUCAAUGCCAUUGACUUGUUGGCCAUCUUGCCGUACUAUGUCACCAUCUUCCUCACCGAAUCCAACAAGAGUGUGCUGCAGUUCCAGAACGUCCGCCGCGUGGUCCAGAUCUUCCGCAUCAUGCGUAUCCUCCGUAUCCUUAAGCUCGCACGCCACUCCACUGGGCUCCAGUCCUUGGGCUUCACCCUGCGGAGGAGCUACAAUGAGCUGGGCUUGCUCAUCCUCUUCCUCGCCAUGGGCAUCAUGAUUUUCUCCAGCCUUGUCUUCUUUGCUGAGAAGGAUGAGGAUGACACCAAGUUCAAAAGCAUCCCAGCCUCUUUCUGGUGGGCCACCAUCACCAUGACGACCGUUGGGUAUGGAGACAUCUACCCCAAGACUCUCCUGGGGAAGAUUGUCGGGGGGCUCUGCUGCAUUGCAGGGGUCCUGGUGAUUGCUCUUCCCAUCCCCAUCAUUGUCAAUAACUUCUCUGAGUUCUACAAGGAGCAGAAGAGGCAGGAGAAAGCGAUCAAGCGGAGAGAGGCUCUGGAGAGAGCCAAGAGGAAUGGCAGCAUCGUCUCCAUGAACAUGAAAGAUGCUUUUGCCCGGAGCAUCGAGAUGAUGGACAUUGUGGUUGAGAAAAAUGGAGACAAUAUGGGUAAGAAGGACAAAGUGCAAGAUAAUCACUUGUCUCCCAACAAAUGGAAAUGGACAAAGAGGACACUGUCUGAAACUAGCUCAAGUAAGUCCUUUGAAACCAAGGAGCAGGGAUCCCCUGAGAAGGCCAGAUCAUCUUCUAGUCCUCAGCACCUGAACGUCCAGCAGUUGGAAGACAUGUACAAUAAGAUGGCCAAGACCCAAUCUCAACCCAUCCUCAAUACGAAGGAGUCAACAACGCAGAGCAAACCAAAGGAAGAACUUGAAAUGGAGAGUAUCCCCAGCCCUGUAGCCCCUCUGCCCACACGUACAGAAGGGGUCAUCGACAUGCGAAGCAUGUCGAGCAUUGAUAGCUUCAUUAGCUGUGCCACAGACUUCCCGGAAGCCACCAGAUUCUCCCACAGCCCUUUGGCAUCACUUCCCAGCAAGACUGGGGGCAGUAUGGCCCCAGAGGUGGGCUGGCGGGGAGCUCUGGCUGCCAGUGGUGGUAGAUUUGUGGAGGCCAACCCCACCCCUGAUGCCAGCCAUCGCUCUACCUUCUUCAUUGAGAGCCCCAAGAGUUCUCUGAAGACGAACAACCCCCUGAAGCUCCGAGCACUUAAAGUCAACUUCAUGGAGGGGGACCCCAGUCCACUAGUCCCCGUUCUGGGGAUGUACCAUGACCCUCUUAGGAACCGGGGGAGCGCUGCCGCUGCUGUCGCCGGACUCGAGUGUGCCACACUCUUGGACAGGCCUGUACUGAGUCCAGAGUCCUCCGUCUACACCACAGCAAGUGCUAGGACGCCCCCCCGAUCACCUGAGAAACACACAGCAAUAGCAUUCAACUUCGAAGCAGGUGUCCACCAGUACAUCGACGCGGACACAGAUGACGAGGGGCAGGUUCUCUACAGUGUAGAUUCCAGCCCUCCCAAGAGCGUCCAGGCGAGCACCAGUCCCAAGUUCAGCGUCGGGACAAGAUCAGAGAAGAACCACUUCGAAAGCUCCCCCUUACCCACCUCCCCUAAGUUCUUAAGGCAGAACUGCAUUUACUCAACAGAAGCAUUGACUGGAAAAGGCCCCAGUGGCCAGGAAAAGUGCAAACUCGAGAACCACAUCUCCCCCGACGUCCGCGUGUUGCCGGGAGGAGGAGCCCACGCGAGCACACGGGAUCAGAGCAUCUGAGCUGCCUCCCCACAACAUAGACUCGUGGCGAGACCCGAGAGGCGUGCCGUCCAGCUUCCCUGCCGCAGAGCCUUUCCGCACGAACUCAGAAAGGCUCUGCAGAGCCUCCAGACAGAAGCAAAACUCUACGGGAGGCUCCCUAGGUCCUUGAGAGCCACGACAGGUAUGACAGAAUGCAGUCGGCCAAGCCACAGGAUGUGGCAUCUCUUUGUACCAAGUCCACUGCCCUCUUUGGGAGAUGACGUGGGCAGAACUCACAGCCACCACUACCACAUGCUGGACCUAACGAAGGCCACCUACUCCCCACUUGUCUGUCAUGGCUGUCCAUCACAGCCUCGCGGGGAGAAGGGGGCGCAGCCUCUCCAGCCCUCCUGGCUUCAGCUGGAGAAGGAUGCCGGAACAAGCAGCUGGGCUGACCAAUUUGGUUUUGGAUGUUACCUGGCCACUUCUAGGAACUCCUGUCCAUCACCUCCUGGAUGGAUCCCACUGUUAAGAAGGCUACAGAGGAUACUCGUGUCAUGGGGAAAUUUCUGCGCCAUCAGCCACGAUCCCAGCACGAAACCCUUACUCAAAUGUCUUCAUUGACUUCAGUGUUCCAUAGUACCUGAGAUUUUAUUCUGAGAUUUCGUCAGGGUCAUGAUGCAAAAUGUACUUCUUCCUGCAAUUCAGAAAUAGCCGAGAAGCAAUGACAUGGGAGAAAGCAGGCCCAGCACAGCCACUACCACACUGCAGGUGCAAACAUCCUUGCCCCUCCCGCCAGGCCCCAUCUGCCCUCCUGCCCACACACAAGAACACACACGGGCUCCAAAAACGCUGUGUUGUCAGGAGUCGCCCAACUGUUUCCCCUCCUCCUCGGGGAGAGGAGCAGGUGUGGUGAUGCCCAUGUCCUGAGCUCAUCGCCUGUCUGGGGACAUGCCCCUCCUGAUGGCCACAUGUCCCCAGAGCAAAUAUUAGGAGAGCUUUUGUGAAAAGCCAGCUGGUAGCAUGUCUGAAGGUGCCAGGCUGCAAAGGUUCGGGCCUGAAUAAACUGCCCGAGAGGAGACACUACAGGGGACGAAGGCUGGGCAGGUCGUUUUGUGCUUUUUCUGGAUGCGUGUGUCCUUCCUAUUGCCAAUCCUGAAUCUGGAAGGAGAGAGUUUGGGAGAGGACACUGCAAUCAGAAAAAGAAAAAUUUCUAAGGGAACCUACUCUCUGGUCUCCCGAGCAGAAGGGAGACUGACACUGGCAGAAGGGACGUUUCAGGAACAAAGGACCCACUUGUCAAAUGGGUUGGCAAUUUCCCUUCUGUGCUAAUGAGCAGGAACUGGCUGGAGGAGAAAGAUGGGCUUUGGGGGGCGGGGAUUCAUCAAGCUGCAGCUCAGUCUAAGUGAUGGCAAAGAGAAAACUUGGGGUCUGAAGCAUCUGAGCUCAAAUUCUAACUACAGCACUGCUUUGCUAUGUGACCUAGGGCCAGUCCUUUUCCUUCUCUGGAUCCUGGUUUUCUAGUCUGUAAGACGGGAAAAUAAUAAUGUCCACUUCAAGGGGCUGCUGGAGGGCUUCGAGGAAAAGAAGUAAAUUGCUUAGCCCAAAGCUUGGCAUCCAGUGAGCACUCCAUAAUGGUAGCUCUCACUGUUCUUAUAAUUUUUACCGCCACUGCAACCUACAGCCUACAUGCGUUCUUUAAUGGAGAGCUAUUGUCUAGCUGAGCUCCUACCAAUGCCAGAAAUCAUAGAGCACAUGAAAUCAUGCUCGUUAACACUCACCGAGCAUUUACUGCGCGUCAGGCCCUGUUCCAAGCCCUUUACGUGAUUUGCUAAUUAAUUCUCAGCAACAACC